GCGGGAGAAGUUUGACAAUUAGCGCCAAUUUAAUCCCCGGCCACAGCUCCCGAGCUCUUCACGUGACCAUUCCCGUGACCUUCCCCUCGAUGGGCUCCAGUCUACUCACAUGAAAGAUGCCUCCCUCCUUUGGUACCUGUUCGUCCUGCAAGACUUGUGAUCAUCUUGGCACGUAUAGUAGGCUCUAAACACAUCUCACACA